ACCACCGAAUACUUCUCUUCCACUCGUUUUCGGCGAGAGCUCCGACGAACCACGCAGGAAAAGCCACCAAGCCGCCGCUAGACUAACAAGACGAGAGGUCUAAGACGAAUUUUUUACAAAUCCGUCUUGGCGCUGGAGCAAAAUUGACUGAUAUGCAAUUUUAUGUAUAUCUGAUAUACAAGAAAACUGUUGGUUGUAUGCACUAAUAUACAGUGUAUAUACAGUUGUGAUAUACAUCAGAAUUGGCCCAAAAGCCCAAAACGCAGGUGGCUCAACAGCUUAGUCCAGGCGUACAGAAACUAAGUGUCGGGCCAUAUUUUUAUAUGUUCAUUACUUAUUUUUAUUUAUUAUUUUAUUGAUUCGGUUUGUAAUAAUUAAUUUAUUUAUGUCGUUCAUGAUUUUCUUAGCUAUUAA